GUGCACCAGGCGCGAAACCUCCGCAAUACACGAAAGUGUGACGGGCCAUCCCGAGUGCCGUCCGCUGAGGACGGCUUUUCCCCAGUGUACACAGCUGGGGGAAUAAGGAGAGGGCAAGCCUGGUGUCAGCCGCGCGGUAAUACCAGCUCUCCGAGUGGUGGGACGCUUAUUGGGCCUAAAGCAUCCGUAGCCGGCUGGGCAAGUCCUCCGUUAAAUCC
rnacentral:rRNA from 1 species